CGGGCAGGGCCUGGGAGGACGGCGAGGCUGGAGGGCCGCCCCCGGCAGUAGCGGCCGCAGGUCGGACUGGAGUCUGACAGGGGACGGGGAAGUCAAGCACAGAGGUCAGGCCUCAGCUAUUGGCCCUGAGACGGGUUAAGGGGCUGUGAGCGGACUGGCUUUCGGCUGCAGGGUCCUGGAGCCCUGGCGUGCGCGCACCCCGGGGAGCCUGUUGGAGAUGCGUGCGCCGGGGCUCCCUGUCCUGUCACCAAGCCCCGUGCCCGGGGGCCCACUCCCUGCGUGUCCACCACAGCGCCUGUGCCGCGGGAAUUCAGCUUCGGGGCUGCACGUCCUGACGUUGUGCGGACGUACGGGCCUCCUGGGUCGCAGGCACUGCCUGGUGUCUGUGGAUUCUAAGGACUGUCCUCAUCAAGAACCUGACCUAGGCAACCUGCCGAACUUCCCCUGACAUCCGUUUCUUAUCUCCUGAAGUAGCGGUUGUUAUCAAACGUCAGAGGGUCACGUGAACAUUAACUGUGGUCCGGUAUGGAAAGCAUGAGUCCCAGGGAAGAAAGUUCAUUCAUUAAUCAAAGACAAGAACAGUUUCUGUCUCUUCUUUGGCUAAUUUCACUUUUACGUAAUGAGUCUGAGCUUUUUAACCGUUCUGAGCGAACUGUGUGGCCCCUAAUUUCUCCAUGAGCGCUGUAAGGUAUUUGUAUCGCUAUUUCUUCACAUCCAGAGACUGAGAUUGAAAGAAGAUAAGAAGUUGGCUGAAGAUCACACAAUUAGUAAAUGUUAGAGCUGGAAUAAAGUCCAGUUCUGAGUGACGUGAAAGUAUAUGCUUUUUGCACAUUACGACCUUAUAUUUCCCAUUCUUCCCAUCCUUUGGUCCCCGAGUGACUUUACUUUCAGUGAAGAGCCUUGGGACCUGUCACAGUUGUUUUUUAAUCAGUGCCUAUCAUUAGUUAUUGCCAUUUUUCUAUGUAAACAGUGAUUUUUACUGCUUAGGAGGGAAUCUUCAAAGGUGUUUCUAAAACGUAGCUCCAGCUGGAGGGUGCUUUUUAAACUCUUCAAGGACAAGAUGAAUGCAGACUCAAAGGAGGUUUUACCCCUGGAUGUGCAAGCUCCUGAGGUUUGGGAAGAACUUCUGACAGUGGAAAUGGAGACGGAAAGUCGCCUCCAAGUGCAGGAAUCCAGGCUGAAACAUAGUAAUCCCCUGGCAAGGGAAAUUUUCCGAAGGCGCUUUCGACAGCUGCGCUACCAGGAGACCCCUGGACCCAGGGAGGCCUUCACCCGACUCCAGGAGCUUUGCCGCCAGUGGUUGAAGCCACAUGUGAGCCCAAAGGAGCAGAUCGUGGAGCUGCUGGUGCUGGAGCAGUUCCUGACCAUCCUGCCCGAGGAUCUGCAGGCCUGGGUGUGGGAGCACUGUCCAGAGAGCAGGGAGGAGGCUGUGAUUUUGCUGGAGAAUCUGGAGAGAGAGCUCGAUGAACCUCAACAUGAGUGGUAGCCCACACGCAGGGGCAAGAAGUCCUCUCUGAAGAGACAGUGCCUCUGGGAGCACAGACAUCACCGAGCCUCCAGUCCCGGCCUGAGGAACCCCAGCUCACCCGUGACACUGCUCAGCAGCCCCACCCUAUUGGAGAGACAGAUGGAAUGACCAAGGCUGAGGACAGAGAGCUGGUGCUGAGGAAAGACUGUCCUAAGAUAGUGGAGUCCCACGGGGAGAUAUUUUAUGGACAGACCUGGGGGGAAUCCCCCCAGGAUCCCCGACAUGGAGAGCUUGGUGACCCUGAGGGUUGGGCAGCGGGGCGCUGGGGCAGCCCCCGAGGGGAGGGACGGCACAAGUGUGAUGCGUGUGAGAAGAGCUUUGCCCAGAGCUCAGGCCUUGUUCGCCAUCACAGAAUCCACACUGGGGAGAGACCCUAUGAGUGUAGUGAGUGUGGGAAGACCUUUAGUCGGAGCUCUGGUCUUUUCAAUCACUGAGGCAUCCACAACCUGCAGAAACGGUCCCGCUGUGCGGAGUGCGGGAAGGCCUUCAGUCAGAGUGCGGGUCUGAUCCAGCAUCAGAGAACCCACAGGGGAGAGAGGCCCCACCGGUGCGGCCAGCGUGGGAAGAGCUACAGUCGGCGUCCGUUCCUCGUCGAGCACCCGAGGGGCCACACGGGGGAGCGGCCGCACAUGCACCAAGUGUGGGAAGAGCUCCAGCCGCCACGGCAGCCUCAUCCGCCAUCAGAAGACCCACACGGCGGCGGGUUUCCGGACCACUGGCCAAGUCCCGGGGGAGGCUAAGGCUAGAAAACGUCUUUCUUCACGUCCCACUAGGUGCGUUUUGGAUCAAGUACUGACCUGUGGCCUGGGCACAUCUGAAGAGGAAGGUGCGAGUGUUUGAAGCUGCUGCUCUCCCUUUGGUCCCUUCAGCCCUCCCCGGGGUGCCGCGCCCCAGCCCUCGUGGGUGCUGACUUGGGGACGGCUGCACCACUUUCCCAUCACGUAACCUGUGGCGCUGCCGUGGCCACAAGCCUGAAGGGCUGUAUCUGCUGAGUUCCUCGAGAGCACACAGAGGUCUGCUGAUGGUUCACGGUAAAGGGUCUGUGGCGUCCCUGGGACGAGGACCUACGGGGCCAACCCCUUCCCCCUCGCUGCGUCCCCGGUGCCCGACCGGCGCUGUUUGCAGACUGCUUCCGUUUCCGAAGCACAGCUGGCAGGGAAAGGGCGCCAUCAUGUCCAUCUUACAGACGAGGAAGCCGUGAGGCGUCGGGGCUUAAAACCUGGACUUUUGUUUUGGAAUAAUUUAAGCUAAUAGAAAUGAUAGAGUUUUCAUAUGCUCUUCAUGUCCCACCGUGUUUUUAGUUAAAGCCCCGGCUUUGGGCUUCACUCCCCAGGUGUUUAUGGUGCUGUCCUGCUUCACUGGGAUCGUCAGGCUGUGUCUGCGGAGCUCGGUCACCUAACAGUCCCUUUGUGCUCGUCCGUCACGCCCGCAGCUUUGCAGGCCGUCUGUGUCCCGAGUCCAAGGCCACCCUGCGGAGUUGGGUCACCAGCCACAUAAAGUGCUUAUAUUUUUAUUUAUUUAUUUUUAAAAAUUUUAUUUAUUUGACCUGAGCUGAAAGCAGCUGCUCAACGGAUUGAGCCCCUUCUUGAUCCAAGUCUCCCUCUCCUUUUUCCCAUUUCUCUACUGAGUGGGUGGCCCAGGAAGUCUUAUGAACAAAGGUUUUAUGAACAGUUUCCCGUCACAGAGCUACAUUACCGAAUGCACAGCAUUACCUACAAAUUCCACACAACGCCAUCUUGAGGGAGGGCAUCCAUUUCCCUCGCUGUGGGGGAAAGUUCUACCUGCUGCGAGAAGCCCAAGAUGAAUUUCUGCAUCAUAGUACGCUUAAAGAUAGGCCCUGGGAUCAUCUGAUAGAAAUGUUGGGCAUGAAAUACAGAAAUGGUCUGAGGAUUUGCUGUUGCUGAUUACAUUAGGGGUCCCCUGCCUUGAGUGAGUUGAGAUUCAAAAGUUCAACUCUGAAAGUUGCCUGUCUUCAUCCCUUGUUGUGUCUCCAAAUUGUGUGGUACAGUGGAGACAUUAAGGACCAGGAGCCAGGUCGCCAGGGAUGGAGUCCCUGCUCAGUGAGGUCUGCAGGGUGGGGCCUUUGGUAAGUCACCUGGAGUGGAUUUCCGAGAAGCAGAGCCCGGGCAGGGAUUCAGGUCCAGGGGAUUUACUGCAGAGGGGCAACCGCAGGGCAGCAGGGGAAGCAGGACGUGGAGGAGAGGGCUGAGCAAGAUGUGGUCUCAGUCUAGCUGUAGCCUAAUUUGGGGGAAGGGUGUCUGGAACAAAACUCACCUUGGAGGCAAGGGGCUAGCCUUGUGUGUCCGCACUCAGCACUCAUGGAUUGAGGGUGGCCUGCUCAUGGUGGCCAGGGGAAGGGAGCACUGUCUGGGUGCAGGGCAGGGCACAGGACCACGGGCAGCUUUCACUGAGCUCAGCCUCUCAGGCCUGUUCCUGCGCUUGCCUGCCCACUUCUCACAGUUGUUCUGAGGAGCAGCAGAUAGCAAUGAGAGGAAAGGACACUGUGAUCUCUAAAAUACACAUCACAUGAAGAGAAGGGGACAUUAUUACUAAAUUUGAAUAUGAUCUAUAGCAAGGCAAAAGGAGGGUUGGACAGCAGUGAGAGACCUCCUAAGUUAAAGUGUUUGGGGGACUUUUUCUUUUACCUCAAUUUUUUAAGAAAGUAUAUUACAGACUGCUGUCAUGUGGGGUUUAGAAAUAAAUUAAUAUUUGGAUCAGGGGAGCAGAGAGAAAAAAGUAAGUUAACAUUAAAAAGUGAAGACGUGUCCUGAGUGGAAUUCCCUGUUUUCCCUGAACUGGGAGCAUUUAGUUCACGUGUAACGUAAAUGUGCUCUGCAACAGUCUCUCCAUUAAAUUGGUAUAGGAGUUCUCCUCUCCCAGUGGCUUUCCCCCCCUGCUCAUCGCCCCGGGCCCGGCGGGCUGGCACAGGGCAGGCGGGCGGCUCACACGGCAGCCGUGUAUCUCCCACAGUUCUGGAGACGGGGAGGCCGGCAUCCGGGCACCAGCUCGGGCUUAGGUGACGGCACCUUCCUUUGUGCUCACAUGACCUGUCUUUUGUGUGCCUGGGGGAGGGAGGGAGAGAGACGGACAGAGAGACAAACCGAGGGUCAGAGACAGAGGCAGACAGACAGACAGCAAGCUUCUUAAAAGGGCGCUAAUCCCACUGUCAUGACCUGACCUGACCCUGAUUACCUCCCAAAGGCCCCAUCUCCAAAUACCAUCACAUUGUGGGGUUAAUUUUAACACAUGCAUGUAAGGGGGGGGACACACAAAUAGUCCAUCACACGACCCCACUGCUUCCAGUGGCUGCUCUCAACAGGUCUCCAUCUGUUUUUUCAGCUCUGCCUGAGAACUAAACAUACCUGCAUCUUUAUAUAACCCUGUAAUAGUCAUCCUUAUCUUAUUCCUAAUUUUGAAUGGAUGUAUCUAAUGAUUUGGCAAAAAAUCACAUUUUCUGUGUGUUUCUGAUAAUUAUUCUCAUAACAUUAAGAAUAUUCCCUCCUCAUUUGCAAGAAUUCUUUAUCAUGAAUGAUUUCUUUUAGAGAAUAUUAGCCUAGUAUCUCUUUCCCAUCCUUUACUUUUAAAAAAUGAUUUCCUUUGGAUAUCCUAUGUACAGAAUUGGAUUAAUUACAAUCCUUGGUAUGAUUCAUGACACACUGUCAUCAUUUGUCCAUGAAUGCCAUGAUUUUGAUUAUUCGUUUGGUAACUUAGGUAGUUAAUUUAGUACCUAGCACUCAUUAAUGUGUCAUUAAACACAAACAAAACAAAAGAUCUUGAAAAACACCUGUAUGGCCAAUCACUCGGCACCCCUCAUCUUUGCCACCCGAAUUUCCCAAUUAAAGGACAUCAUCUUGAAUCCUGAUUUUAUAAUUUCUUGCUUUCCUAUUUAUAUACUUUUACUGCAUAUAUUUGCAUUCCUAAGAACUAUAAUUUUUAAUUGAUUCUAAUAACUCUUUAUAAAAUUUCCUAUGUUCAGUCUUGUUUUUUAACUCAUCAAUUUAAUCCAGUUGUGUUUAUUAUGAUUAUCAGUUUAUUGCUACCACCCAACUUUGUCUUUUCUAUUUUCCAUGAUCUUUCUUUAAUUUUUU